rnacentral:rRNA from 1 species
UACGGGGGGGGCAAGCGUUGUUCGGAAUUACUGGGCGUAAAGGGCGCGUAGGCGGCCGAUCAAGUCGGAGGUGAAAUCCCUCGGCUCAACUGAGGAACUGCCUUCGAUACUGUUCGGCUUGAGUCCUGGAGAGGGUAGCGGAAUUCCCGGUGUAGCGGUGAAAUGCGUAGAGACCGGGAAGAACACCAGUGGCGAAGGCGGCUACCUGGACAGGUACUGACGCUGAAGCGCGAAAGCUAGGGGAGCAAACAGG